rnacentral:lncRNA from 1 species
CGGGGCGCCGGAGACGCCAGGCCCGAGUAGCAAGCUCCUCCAUGGAGCCUUCCCAGAGCGGUCCGUGCUCGCUGUAUUCGCCCCCAGUCCUGUGCGGCUGCUGAGAGCGCUCCUGGCUCUGUAAAGUGGAUGUCAGGUGGAUCUAUGUUUGUGAAGGAACAAAGACUCAGCGAAGGCACCGCCGAG